GAUGAACGCUGGCGGCGUGCCUAACACAUGCAAGUCGAACGGGUGUACGGGGAGGAAGGCUUCGGCCGGAAAACCUGUGCAUGAGUGGCGGACGGGUGAGUAACGCGUGGGCAACCUGGCCUGUACAGGGGGAUAACACUUAGAAAUAGGUGCUAAUACCGCAUAACGGGGGAAGCCGCAUGGCUUUUCCCUGAAAACUCCGGUGGUACAGGAUGGGCCCGCGUCUGAUUAGCCAGUUGGCAGGGUAACGGCCUACCAAAGCGACGAUCAGUAGCCGGCCUGAGAGGGCGGACGGCCACACUGGGACUGAGACACGGCCCAG
rnacentral:rRNA from 1 species